GACGAACGCUGGCGGCGUGCUUAACACAUGCAAGUCGAACGGAAAGGCCCUGCUUUUGUGGGGUGCUCGAGUGGCGAACGGGUGAGUAACACGUGAGUAACCUGCCCUUGACUUUGGGAUAACUUCAGGAAACUGGGGCUAAUACCGGAUAGGAGCUCCUGCUGCAUGGUGGGGGUUGGAAAGUUUCGGCGGUUGGGGAUGGACUCGCGGCUUAUCAGCUUGUUGGUGGGGUAGUGGCUUACCAAGGCUUUGACGGGUAGCCGGCCUGAGAGGGUGACCGGCCACAUUGGGACUGAGAGACGGACCAGAAUCCUACGGGAGGCAGCAGUGGGGAAUAUUGCACAAUGGGCGGAAGCCUGAUGCAGCAACGCCGCGUGCGGGAUGACGGCCUUCGGGGUGUAAACAGCUUUCGCCUGUGACGAAGCGUGAGUGACGGUAAUGGGUAAAGAAGCACCGGCUAACUACGUG
rnacentral:rRNA from 1 species